rnacentral:rRNA from 1 species
UACAACUUUCAACAACGGAUCUCUUGGCUCUCGCAUCGAUGAAGAACGCAGCGAAAUGCGAUAAGUAAUGUGAAUUGCAGAAUUCAGUGAAUCAUCGAAUCUUGAACGCUAU